ACCUUUUCUUGGUCUGGUGCUGGCCAACCUGUCACUGCUCGUCACAGAAUUUAGGUCUGCAUUUCAAAAGGAAACGUCCCUCUUUGCCACGUAUCCAAUCAGAGCUCAGAUGCUACCUACUGCAGCACAAUCCAAUGCACAUGCAGUCUUUGGAACCUGUCAGCUGACCUCACCCAAGCACCUCUACCCCAAAAGCCAGACAUUCCUCAAUGUCCCCCACACCACUUCCUAGAGAAAUAGGUUCCAUAGAGUCAAACUUGCUGCAAUUGGACCCUACUGCAUGCAACUCACUGCUAGUCCAGUUCCCUACCUCUGCAACUGAUCCAGAAUGUAGCAAUAUCUGGUGUUACAACCUUUCCUUGUUCUCCAAUGUCACACCACUCCUCCACUGGCUUCCUGAAGAUGCUUGCAUCAAAUGUAAUACUCUGUUGCUUGAUUCAGUGCAGUGAAGGUCACUCCUCAUCCUUUUGUCAACAGUGAACAUCUAAAUAGAGAAUAAGUGUGUGUUUGUUUUUCCAUGCCGCUGCCGCCUUCACCCCUAUUACAGUGCCUCUUUACAUGU